CCGGCUUCCCCCUCCCCCUCGGGCUCUUUCGUUUGAAUCGAUGCCAGGAGAAACUGCCUCUACCUGCAAGAAAGGCGGCCGAUGACACUUGGGGAUGGGAGACCUUCGCUGGCACCGGAUCACUGGAGGUAAACAUCGAAUUAAUUGGAUCUGAAUGA
rnacentral:lncRNA from 1 species